UUCGCAAUGCCCGAAAGGGUGACGAAGCGACGCCGCGUGGGUGAGGAAGGCCUUCGGGUUGUAAAGCCCUGUCAGGAGUUAAGAAAUGUAGACUCGCUAAUAUCGGGUCUAUUUGACAAAGGCUCCAAAGGAAGCCACGGCUAAUUCCGUGCCAGCAGCCGCGGUAAUACAGAGGUGGCAAGCGUUGUUCGGAAUUAUUGGGCGUAAAGAGCACGUAGGUGGAUUUGUAAGUCAGACGUGAAAGCCUUCUGUUCAACGGAAGAAUUGCAUCUGAAACUACAAACCUUGAGUGUAGGAGGGGAGAAUGGAACUUCUGGUGGAGCGGUGAAAUGCGUAGAUAUCAGAAGGAACGCCGGCGGCGAAAGCGAUUCUCUGGCCUAUUACUGACACUCAGUGUGCGAAAGCUAGGGGAGCAAACGGGAUUAGAUACCCCGGUAGUCCUGGCCGUAAAUGAUGGGCACUAAGUAGAGGGGUUUU
rnacentral:rRNA from 1 species